AACGCUAGCUACAGGCUUAACACAUGCAAGUCGAGGGGCAGCAUGAACUUAGCUUGCUAAGUUUGAUGGCGACCGGCGCACGGGUGAGUAACACGUAUCCAACCUCCCGCUUACUCAGGAAUAGCCUUUCGAAAGAAAGAUUAAUGCCUGAUGGUAUCUUAAGCACACAUGUAAUUAAGAUUAAAGAUUUAUCGGUAAGCGAUGGGGAUGCGUUCCAUUAGGUAGUAGGCGGGGUAACGGCCCACCUAGCCGACGAUGGAUAGGGGUUCUGAGAGGAAGGUCCCCCACAUUGGAACUGAGACACGGUCCAAACUCCUACGGGAGGCAGCAGUGAGGAAUAUUGGUCAAUGGGCGCGAGCCUGAACCAGCCAAGUAGCGUGAAGGAUGAAGGUCCUAUGGAUUGUAAACUUCUUUUAUACGGGAAUAAAGUGGUCCACGUGUGGACUUUUGCAUGUACCGUAUGAAUAAGCAUCGGCUAACUCCGUGCCAGCAGCCGCGGUAAUACGGAGGAUGCGAGCGUUAUCCGGAUUUAUUGGGUUUAAAGGGAGCGCAGACGGGGGAUUAAGUCAGUUGUGAAAGUUUGCGGCUCAACCGUAAAAUUGCAGUUGAUACUGGUUCCCUUGAGUGCAGUUGAGGCAGGCGGAAUUCGUGGUGUAGCGGUGAAAUGCAUAGAUAUCACGAAGAACUCCGAUUG
rnacentral:rRNA from 1 species